GAGCGCCCCGCAAGGGGAGCGGCAGACGGGUGAGUAACGCGUGGGAAUCUACCCAUCCCUACGGAACAACUCCGGGAAACUGGAGCUAAUACCGUAUACGCCCUUCGGGGGAAAGAUUUAUCGGGGAUGGAUGAGCCCGCGUUGGAUUAGCUAGUUGGUGGGGUAAAGGCCUACCAAGGCGACGAUCCAUAGCUGGUCUGAGAGGAUGAUCAGCCACAUUGGGACUGAGACACGGCCCAAACUCCUACGGGAGGCAGCAGUGGGGAAUAUUGGACAAUGGGCGCAAGCCUGAUCCAGCCAUGCCGCGUGAGUGAUGAAGGUCUUAGGAUUGUAAAGCUCUUUCACCGGAGAAGAUAAUGACGGUAUCCGGAGAAGAAGCCCCGGCUA
rnacentral:rRNA from 1 species